rnacentral:rRNA from 1 species
GGCUUGCCUGCUAUCUCUUACCAUGUCUUUUGAGUACUUACGUUUCCUCGGUGGGUUCGCCCACCGAUUGGACAAACUUAAACCCUUUGCAGUUGAAAUCAGCGUCUGAAAAAACUUAAUAGUUACAACUUUCAACAACGGAUCUCUUGGUUCUGGCAUCGAUGAAGAACGCAGCGAAAUGCGAUAAGUAGUGUGAAUUGCAGAAUUCAGUGAAUCAUCGAAUCUUUGAACGCACAUUGCGCCCCUUGGUAUUCCAUGGGGCAUGCCUGUUCGAGCGUCAUUUGUACCUUCAAGCUCUGCUUGGUGUUGGGUGUUUGUCUCCUGUAGACUCGCCUUAAAACAAUUGGCAGCCGGCGUAUUGAUUUCGGAGCGCAGUACAUCUCGCGCUUUGCACUCAUAACGACGACAUCCAAAAGUACAUUUUUACACUCUUGACCUCGGAUCAGGUAGGGAUACCCGCUGAACUUAAGCAUAUCAAUAAGCGGA